UCUGUCAUAAGAGAUAUUCAGUGAGUCAUCUGCAGCCUCAGACAAGUCCAAAUAGGCCUACAUCUCACUGACAAUGAUCAGAGAGUGUUUGAAGCAAAUGUUUUUCAUCUGAAUCAACUUUGUAGCAUUUUCACACCUUUCCAAGUCUCUCCAUUGUCUUCUAGUUCCUGUAAGAUUUCAAGCCCACCCUGGGUGUUUGUGUAGAAAAACAUUUGGUUACCUUCCCCUUGUCUUGCUUCUCCAGAUCCAGUUAACCAACUUAUUUAUCUUCGUUCCUCAGUGGUGGAAUCAACUCCCAACACCUGUUAGAACAGCGAACACUCCGGCCACAAACACAUAAAGCCUCAGAAGAUAUUCAGACAUAAUUUUGAAAGCUUUCUCUGACUAAUAAAGUCAUUUAGUCAUUGCCUCAUUUCACAAUUUGUGGGGCUCCACAAGGGCUGGUUUAAAAUAUAUAAAAGUCUUGUUGAUAGGAUAUUUGCUUCAUUUGCAGCCAUGGAUGUUAACACUGCUCUCAGACUGCUUGCUGCAAUGGUUGUUCUCACCUCACAGCCAUAUAAUACAGAAGGUAGACAUAUUUGCAGCAAAGAUUUGCGCAAGCUUCAGAAGCGUUCGGGUGAGGAUGUUGUUCUUCUAGAAGGUUAUGAAGUUUCACCGAAGGAUGAAGAGCGGGACAGUGACUGUGUGGAAUAUGAGGCAACCAGUCCUGUUCCCACCCCUGCUGCACAAACAACCACAAGGAAGAAAGUGCCAUACAUAGUUACACCAGUCCCAACCCCCCAAAAAACAUCCAAAAACCAGUUGUGCUGGGUGUACUAUGGUAAGACUGUGAAGCUGUACCUACCCAUGAGGUAUCUGCCCACACUUCCCAAUCCUCAAGGGAAUAAGCAGAUCUUUGGACCGUAUACAGGGGGAAUUAAUGGUUCUCAACCUAGGGUAGUGUGUGGGAAACUGCAAAGAUCUAUGGGAAGCUUCCCUAAAGUACUUAGGGAUUACACUAAUGGCAGACAACAAGAUAUUAAAGGAUCAAGAUCAGUUAAGCCAAUAGUGGUCAGGCCUGCAAUGGCAAUUCAGGUGUCUAGCAGUAGAAGCUCCUCUUUUUACAACUUACUCAGAUCUUAUCAGAGAGUGUUAGCUGUUCAGAGGCCCGGGGGAAGUUCAGUUUCCUCUCGCUGUGUUUAGGUUGCAGGGCAGAGAACUAGACUGAUGUUAUCGAUAUGAUAUUUUAAAUUUUCAUGUCUAUGGGCAACGGCCUCCUUACAGCAUGCUCAACAUGGGCUUCAUUCAAUUUAUCUGAUAAAUCCUGUGCUAUUGGCAUUGAUGUGGUGGUGAUUUUUACAAUGAGUGUAUGCAAAUUAUCAUUGUUUUGUUUAACCUUUUCUUUAUUUUGGUUUUUGGUAUCUUUCUAUAUUUAGUUGUAUUGUACCAACUU